rnacentral:tRNA from 1 species
GGGUUUAUAGCUCAGUUGGUAGAGCACAGGACUCUUAAUCCUUUGGUCCAGGGUUCGAAUCCCUGUAAACCCA